UGCUGCGCUGUGAGCACAGGAGCCAGACAGUCCUACAGUUCAACUCCAACAUCAGGGACUGAGUCGUACACAGGAAGAUCACUGAGUAGGUUCUGUGGAGACGCAGUCGGCCCAUAUGCACGUCACCACUCGGCUCCCAGCUCAGGUGCAGACCAACGGCGACCACUUGCUCCACUUUGCUCUGUGACAGCAGACGAGGUAAGGCAUGUUGCAGAUACAUGCUGAAUAUAGGGAUGCCUGUACACAAAACUGCACUCAUGCUGUGAUAACACGCAAAAGGUCACACACUGGAAGAGCCUUGCCCAACGAACGAUAGACUAACAGGCCAGAGGCGGGGAAAGCUUCUCGGAGUCCCACUAUCUUCUUUGUUUU
rnacentral:lncRNA from 1 species